rnacentral:ncRNA from 12 species
GAGCCACACUUGAACCGUCCCCUUCAUGGGGCGCGUGUCCGCAAGGACUAGAGUGUGGCUAUCUU